ACGUUAUCUUGCUAUCGCCUUUAAAGAAACAUACGUCAAGUUUUUUUUCUCUCUGUACUGAACCUAUUUUAGUUAUCCAAGGAAAAGGAACUUUAACGAUGAUAUUUCAAGUCUUUUACGAUCCACUGUGUGCGCCAACGGUGUUUUUGUUUUACUGGCAUCCGGGACGUCUGGUACGCCUCGACUGUUUUUUGCGGUACUUUCUCCGCUUGUCUUGUACUGCCGGCCGCUCUCUUUGCCUGCAUUUAACUGAACAUGGUUGAUUGCUAAGUCCGGUUUGAUUACUUGGGCACCGGCGCUCACCCGAAACUGGAGCGACGUCCUUUUCUUUGGGUAAAACGUGUAAUGGUGGCCCCAACUAUUACUGGUCGUUGCCAAAUGCAACAAACAGUAAACUGUUUAGUAUACGAAACACUCAUAAUGUUGUCAUGUCUGUUUUGCAAAUGUUGGACGGCCACCUUAUGGCGUCCGUCGUUAUGGAAAAAUUUUAUUCCCACAGUGUUUUGGCCAAAAACAAUGGUACACCACAAACAUGCAGAAUAUCACGUGUAAUUUAUUUUAUUUUUUUUCAUUUACAAUGUAAGCUUUUCGCAGAAUCUGUUAUAAACGUUAGAGUGUUCCGCCCGUUGGAAACAAACGACGCGCUUUUGUGUCCCGUUCCGAAUCAUAAGUUGCAACUUGGAAACGUGACAAAUGGUCGAUGGACAGCUAUAACUAUUUGGUUGUAGUUGUUGACCCGUUGGCGCUCUCGCCACUUGCUGAAUGAUGAUGAUAUCUUGGUGCAAGCUGCUCGGCUUCGUCCCUCUCUUAGCUGGCCUAACUUUGAAGCUCUGUUUGUGGUAGAAGGGCAGUAGAUGUUCCACUAGCCAACAUUCUGUGUGUAAAUGUACGAAUAAUAGAUGCUUCACAGUUCAUUGAAAGUGCACAUUUUCACCGAAGAACGUCGGUAAACAGACUGUUCAUCUUGUUUCCUUUUAUGAUCGGUGCACUUGUACCCAUUGAUAUUUAGUCUAUGCGUGUUCAACUAUAAUAGCAAUAAUACAAUGAAACAAUACACCGUGUAAUAAAAACAAUA